rnacentral:snRNA from 1 species
UUACCUUUCUCGGCCUUUUGGCUAAGAUCAAGUGUAGUAUCUGUUCUUAUCAGUUUAAUAUCUAAUAGUGUUAUAUUGGACCUGUACUGGGCUCCGGAACCGACAUACGAGCCCGAUACCAAUGUGAUCACUCGUUAUUUAGUUUCUUUAAUUCCUU